rnacentral:rRNA from 1 species
UGGGGAAUAUUGCGCAAUGGGCGAAAGCCUGACGCAGCGACGCCGCGUGAGGGAUGAAGGUUUUCGGAUCGUAAACCUCUGUCAGAAGGGAAGAAACCGCACUGUGCUAAUCAGCAGUGCCUUGACGGUACCUUCAAAGGAAGCACCGGCUAACUCCGUGCCAGCAGCCGCGGUCAUACGGAGGGUGCAAGCGUUAAUCGGAAUUACUGGGCGUAAAGCGCACGUAGGCUGCUUUGUAAGUCAGGGGUGAAAUCCCACGGCUCAACCGUGGAACUGCCGUUGAUACUGCUUAGCUUGAAUCCGGGAGAGGGUGGCGGAAUUCCAGGUGUAGGAGUGAAAUCCGUAGAUAUCUGGAGGAACAUCAGUGGCGAAGGCGGCCACCUGGACCGGUAUUGACGCUGAGGUGCGAAAGCGUGGGGAGCAAACAGG